UGAACGCAAAUUGCGGCCACGGGUUAUCCUGCGGCCUCGCCUGUCCGAGGGUCG
rnacentral:rRNA from 1 species